GUUAUGCAAGAUUUAAAGAUUUAUGGGUUUACCAAGUGCUAAUAGCUCAAUUGGUAAAGAUCUCUGGCAAAAGCUAAGAGGUCGCCGGUUCGAGUAGCGUUUGGGACGAAACCAUUUAACAUGCUUUGGUUUUGGGCCUGAAGGGAUGUAUGGGCUUCUGUCCAGAACUUCUUUGAUUAUUCAAAAAAAAAAAAAAGAUUUAUGGGUUUAUGUUCUCCAUGAUGAAUUCCAGAUCUGAAUAGAUUUCUUGGUUUAAAGGAUGGGUUAGGUAAUGAGAAAUCUUAGUUUCUAGGGAUGCUUAAGUAUAGAUUCAGGUAGAUACCUUCUGUAUUAAGAGAUUUGAUUGCUAAUCUUAGCAUUUUAACCAUGUGGGAUUAGAUCUUAGACAUUCCAGCACUCAAAAAGUGUUCAAUAGAAUGUCUGAUCAACUAAUGCCAGAG
rnacentral:lncRNA from 1 species